GGGUCGUUCGAUAAGUCGGUAGACAAGUUACAUCUUCACCAAUUGACAGUAGGAUCGAAUCCUACACGACCCACCA
rnacentral:tRNA from 1 species